UUAAUAUUUUCCAUGCCAUUUGAAGUUCGCUUGGCAAGCAAGUAUUGUUUACUAUUUGUCAUCCCUUUGAGAUAUAUGUUCCUUUAGGAGGUGUCUGUUAUGUAGUGUAAUUCUUUGUGUUUUGGAUUCUUUGCAGGUUUGGCAGUCACUUCGUGUUACUAUCGACCGAGGCUUUUUAGCAGGAAUUACUUGGGUCUAAAAAGCUUCCUGGAAGUGGUGGUGUAGUGUUGGAGAUUAAAAUCAUGUAGUAGUGUAGUUUCAAUGAUGUUAUGUUACUUGUUUUUUAUUAAAUGCUUAUGCUUAUAGCACCUUGUAAAUAUGCUUGUGAUGUUUUGAUAUUAAUUUUUCUUUUUGAAAUCAGACCAGAUUGUUGGAAGUUUGUAUUGUCUUGUUGAAUGAAUAUAAUUGCAUGUCUUGUUGUAAAU
rnacentral:lncRNA from 1 species